AUUGAACGCUGGCGGCAUGCCUUACACAUGCAAGUCGAACGGCAGCACGGGUGCUUGCACCUGGUGGCGAGUGGCGAACGGGUGAGUAAUACAUCGGAACGUACCUUAUCGUGGGGGAUAACGCAGCGAAAGCUGUGCUAAUACCGCAUACGCCCUGAGGGGGAAAGCGGGGGAUCGCAAGACCUCGCGCGAUUAGAGCGGCCGAUGCCUGAUUAGCUUGUUGGUGGGGUAAAAGCCCACCAAGGCGACGAGCAGUAGCUGGUCUGAGAGGACGAACAGCCACACUGGGACUGGGACACGACCCAGACUCCUACGGGAGGCAGCAGGGGGGAAUUUUGGACAAUGGGGGCAACCCUGACCCAGCAAUGCCGCGUGAGUGAAGAGGGCCUUCGGGUUGUAAAGCUCUUUUGUCAGGGAAGAAACACCGGCUCUAACACAGUCCGGGAAUGACGGUACCUGAAGAAUAAGCACCGGCUAACUACGUGCCAGCCGCCGCGGUAA
rnacentral:rRNA from 1 species